rnacentral:rRNA from 1 species
AUUGAACGCUGGCGGAAGGCCUAACACAUGCAAGUCGAGCGGAGCGGCGGACGGGUGAGUAAUGCCUAGGCAUCUGCCUGGUAGUGGGGGAUAACGUCCGGAAACGGGCGCUAAUACCGCCUAUUAUAAGAUAAGCCAAGGUCGGAUGGGGUAGUUGGUGGGGUAAAGGCAUACAAAGGCGACGAUCCGAAACUGGUCUGAGAGGAUGGUCAGUCAACCUGGAACUGAGGCACGGUCCAGUCUCCUGCGGGAGGCAGCAGUGGGGAAUAGUGGACAAUGUGCGAAAGCCUGAUCCAGCCAUGCCGAGUGUGUGAAGCAGGUCUUCGGAUUGUAAAGCACUUUAAGUUGUGAGGCGUUACCAACAGAAUAUGCACCGGCUAACUUCGUGCCAGCAGCCGCGGUAAUAC